rnacentral:rRNA from 1 species
GCAGUUAGGCUGGGAAAUAGGCAAAUCCGUUUCCCAUAAGGCUGAGCUGUGAUGGCGAGCGAAAUAUAGUAGCGAAGUUCCUGAUUCCACACUGCCAAGAAAAGCCUCUAGCGAGGUGAGAGGUGCCCGUACCGCAAACCGUCACAGGUAGGCGAGGAGAGAAUCCUAAGGUGAUCGAGAGAACUCUCGUUAAGGAACUCGGCAAAAUGACCCCGUAACUUCGGGAGAAGGGGUGCUCUGUUAGGGUGCAAGCCCGAGAGAGCCGCAGUGAAUAGGCCCAGGCGACUGUUUAGCAAAAACACAGGUCUCUGCGAAGCCGUAAGGCGAAGUAUAGGGGCUGACGCCUGCCCGGUGCUGGAAGGUUAAGAGGAGCGCUUAGCGUAAGCGAAGGUGCGAAUUGAAGCCCCAGUAAACGGCGGCCGUAACAAUAACGGUCCUAAGGUAGCGAAAUUCCUUGUCGGGUAAGUUCCGACCCGCACGAAAGGCGCAACGAUCUGGGCACUGUCUCAACGAGAGACUCGGUGAAAUUAUAGUACCUGUGAAGAUGCAGGUUACCCGCGACAGGACGGAAAGACCCCGUGGAGCUUUACUGCAGCCUGAUAUUGAAUGUUGGUACAGCUUGUACAGGAUAGGUAGGAGCCUUGGAAACCGGAGCGCCAGCUUCGGUGGAGGCAUCGGUGGGAUACUACCCUGGCUGUAUUGACCUUCUAACCCGCCGCCCUUAUCGGGCGGGGAGACAGUGUCAGGUGGGCAGUUUGACUGGGCGGUCGCCUCCUAAAAGGUAACGGAGGCGCCCAAAGGUUCCCUCAGAAUGGUUGGAAAUCAUUCGCAGAGUGUAAAGGCACAAGGGAGCUUGACUGCGAGACCUACAAGUCGAGCAGGGACGAAAGUCGGGCUUAGUGAUCCGGUGGUUCCGCAUGGAAGGGCCAUCGCUCAACGGAUAAAAGCUACCCCGGGGAUAACAGGCUUAUCUCCCCCAAGAGUCCACAUCGACGGGGAGGUUUGGCACCUCGAUGUCGGCUCAUCGCAUCCUGGGGCUGUAGUCGGUCCCAAGGGUUGGGCUGUUCGCCCAUUAAAGCGGUACGCGAGCUGGGUUCAGAACGUCGUGAGACAGUUCGGUCCCUAUCCGUCGCGGGCGCAGGAAAUUUGAGAGGAGCUGUCCUUAGUACGAGAGGACCGGGAUGGACGCACCGCUGGUGUACCAGUUGUUCUGCCAAGGGCAUCGCUGGGUAGCUAUGUGCGGACGGGAUAAGUGCUGAAAGCAUCUAAGCAUGAAGCCCCCCUCAAGAUGAGAUUUCCCAUUCCGCAAGGAAGUAAGAUCCCUGAAAGAUGAUCAGGUUGAUAGGUCUGAGGUGGAAGUAUGGCAACACAUGGAGCUGACAGAUACUAAUCGAUCGAGGACUUAAUC